ACAACACACUAAUAUAAGUUUUUUUGUCAAAUAUUAUUAGGGGUGACAAUACGUGGUAUCAUAAGUACGAUCCAAACACCAAGCAACAGCAGAGAGAAUGAAAAACUGCUUAAUCACCACGAUUAUGUCCACUUUCCAUGCACAAAACAUGGCUUCAGUUCCUGGCACUUCCAGGGAUAUUUUUCUCUUGAGGCCAACUAACGAGCUACUUGUUUGCGUAGUAGCGGCUUCCAGGUUCUAAAAGCUGUCGACAACAUCUAGGAAACCAGAAUGCUGACCACAGACGCCUCCAUAUCACAUCCAAAUGACUCUAUUAGCAGAGGAUGACACAGAAGCCGGUCAGACUUGAGUAGUAUUCAGGACCCGACCGGCACGUUCAUUUUUGUCUGACACGACUGCAGACAGGAGCUGAUAUUAACGGAGAAAACGAUGCUGGUUUGUCUUUUCGACGUGGAGAGGGCAAUUCACCAUGAAUUUGUCCUGUAAUGUGUCGUAGUUAACCAGCCAGUGAUGUGUGACACAUAAAAGUGCUACUAAAAUGUUUGCGUGCGGCAUUGUCUCCUCGAACACAGCAAUGUCGCCGGCCACAAAGUGUCUGAGAAACGCAUGUGACGAUAACAUACUUGGGCGGAAUAUUUUAAUAAAUGGCUUUGGAAUUGGCUGCCGGUGACUUAUAUUGUUCCCUAGAGUGAAAACGAUCAUAGAAGUAAAUCUUUCUCAGUAAAGAAAACUCGACAAAAAUCAUUUAAGGAACUUUCUGAAAUAAUUUUGUGUGGAUCUAAAAACAGUUUGCGUCAAUGGAUGAAAUGUUGAGAGAAGUGCAUUAGGUAAUAGUUUGACACUGUUUUCAUGGUGAUCCCAAUUUCAGGCAUUUCUUUGAAGUUGAAAGUACUUAACUGUAGAUUCUAUCGAGUCCCCUCUCAUGUUUAUAAUUUUCUCAUCCCCAAAUCUGUUACUCGAUUGUCCUAUCAGCUACUAAAUAAAUUAUCGUUAAGAAUGAUAAACUCAUACUAGUAGGUAAAUAUUAGCUGUUCCCAAAAGAAGCAGCAGUUGCAAUUUUAGUUAUCACGUAGAUUGAAAGACACAUGUUGUAUUACGCAUAUUUUCAUAAUGUCAAACAGUGUACACAUUACUUAUUCUAAGAACAUUUAUCUUAACCGAUGGGUCUUUCAUAUAUUUAAAAUAACUUAACAUUAAUUUGUUUCUUAAAACUAAUACUAUUGAGGACAGCCGCAACACAUCGAAGGAAAGAUGUAUGCUGUAAUAAUUAAUCGACAAAGCAAUGCAAAUAGUAAUCUGCGUUGUUGCGAUCGAAGAGGUGUUAUUUAGUUCUAACUCGACUCCUUUUGCAUAGUAAUUUUUUAUUCAAUAACGUUUGACAAACAUCUAAUAUCUCAGGAUUUGAUCAAAAAGUGCUCUUCUUGUUUUGCGUAUUUCCUGCAUGAUAUGACUUUGCCUAUUCAUCUUUUUAAAUUAUUAAAAAUGUUGCUCCUUAUAAAAUAUUUUUUAUCAGUGUUAAAUGAAGUUUUCAUGUCGCUACGUUGAAGAAAUAGUUGUCUAAUACGUUACUUCAUGAAACAAAGUGAGAACACCUUCAUAUAUACUUCAUUUAGAGCUCGGUUAACUAGAACUUACUAAGUCACACUUUGAAGCCUGCAUACCAAGGUUUCAUUUUAAAUUAGCUAGGAGUACAUAAACUGAAUAAUUUUCUUUUUAACAAGUCUAAAUAUCCCACUUUUAUAAUAACUGGAUGUAUAACUUGAUUGCUGCUCUUCUGAUUUAUAAACGUGUUUUCUUUUCCCUGCAAGUCAGUUCUCCUCUUUCUGGGAAGUUAAUAUUAAACUCGCAUAGAAAAAGCUACCUUUCUGUCUGAUACUGAAAAUCUUUUUUCUUGUUUGGUGUCCAUGAUAAGUAUUUGAUAUUACGUAGACUAUUUUGAGGAAAUGUUGAUGGACUAAUGGCCGCCAGAAUUCAUCAAUGCUGUCCGCGUUUAGUGUUAUUACGAUGCCUUGAAAGGUAUAGAAGGGACGUUAAGGGCGUCCGAUGUUGAGUACUCACUGUAACGGAUACGGUGAUACGGGCUACUCAUAUGAGGCAGCAUAAUCAGUUGGCGGUGACGUGAGGACAGGUGCAAUUUUUACGAUGUUUUGGAGAUGCACAGUGGUGUUACUUCUUACAUCAUGGUGUGAAGAGCCAUCCGGUAAGAUUUCAGGUCAUGCAUGGUAGUGAUUGAAGGAACUCUGACUGCACAGCGGUACGUCGUGGACAUCUUGCAUCAUUAUGUGCUACCUCUCACAUGACUGUAUGGUGGUACCCCUUUUCAAGAGGACAAUGCUUCUGUGCAAAUGACAAAUUCCUCUAUGAACUGUGUGCGUGAUGGUGAGGAACGCCUGUAGUCUGAAAUAUCUGGAUCUCUGUCUGGAAUAGAACAUUCGUGAGACCAGCUCAGCUGUCAAUUCCGCCUCAUUGUUAGUUUCCAGCAUAUGAAGAACCAGUUAUAAGAGCUGUUGGCCGGCCUGAUUCAGGAGAGUUAAGGUGACUGCCAGUGCUGCUUUAAGGGCGCUUCACGGCGGGUAACCUUACGGACACGCCGACGCCUCUCUACAGAUUACCAACAAUGCGGACGCCGUAUCGAACGGAGCUGUUGGCGUGACUCACUGUGCGUGUGGUGUGGCAGCGAGGAGAAAAAACGGCGAGCCUGAGGUGAGGCGAGGUGAGGGUAGGCGGCUAGGCGCCUGUGUAGCUCAGCCCAGCCCAGCGAGGCGAGAGAACUUGACGCGCUACGCCCCUCCCACUUUGCGUCUCUUCUCACAUAAACGGCGCCACAGCACGCCUCGUUCUCAUUACAGGAGUCACAUCGACAACAUGGCCGCAAGAGGCAGGUUCAUCUCUCUGAGCGACACUAGCGUUAUUGCAUCAACAGCCAGUUUCUGUAGAGAUACCUCGCCGAUGGACAUCCCACAGUAAAAGCUUCGUUUAAUGGGGAAAGAAAUGGUGGUGUAUGUGCAUUUUCAGUAUAAAAAAGGAACGUCCUUAACCCUCGAAAUACCAAGGCGCCAAUUGGGGUUGGGGAUGGGGGUGGGAGCCUGUACUUUGUGCCCACCUUUCAAAAAUAUUGUAAUUUAGUCAGUCAAUGUAUAUUUUAAAUUUCUGAAAAAAUAUUUAUUGUUUUUAACGAAUUAUACUGUCGUGUUCCAUAAAUCUCUUACAUGUCUCAAUUAAACAUAAACCAAAAAUUUAGUUCUUAGAAGUGAUCUCACUUUCUGUAGUCAAUGUCAUAUUCAAUAUUUUCAAGUUCAGGUCAACCACAAUAAACAAAAUUUUCAUUUUUAAAUUUUUUUGUCGGUGGUCAUAAAUUACCCCCAGCGUAGUAGUUCACAUUUUUGAAAAUGUGUAGAUAUUGCUAAGAAUGAACUUAAGGGACAUUUUCGGGUUCUGGACCCUACUUAGACUUAUGAACCUCUUUAAAAAUCAUACUGUUAAUAGAAAUCAAGAACAGUUAAAGAUCUUUUUAUUUGUUAGGGUUGUAGCCUAUUCUCGAUGUUAUUUAAUCUCUACACUGAACAAACAGUAAAGGAGAUCAAAGAAAAAUUUGGAUUAGUAAUUAAAAUCCAGGGAAAAGAAAUAAAAACUUUGAGGACUGCCGAUGGCGCUAUAAUUCCUUCUAAGACACCAAAGAACUUGGAAGAGCAGUUAAACGGAAUGGACAGUGUUUUGAAAAGAGAAUAUAAGAUGAACAUCAACAAAAGCAAUACAAGUAUAAUGGAAUGUAGUCGAAUUAAAUCACGUGAUGCUAAGAGGAUCAGAUUAGAAAACGAGACACUUAAAGUUGUGGAUGAGUUUUGUUACUUGGGUAGCAAAUUAACUGAUGAUGGUCGACGUAGAGAGGGUACAAAAUGUAGACUGGCAAUGGCAAGAAAAGCAUUUCUAAAGAAUAGAAACAUGUUAACUCGGAUGUAGAUUUAAGUGUCAGGAAGUCUUUUCUGAAGGCAUUUGCCUGGAGUGUAGCCAUGUAUGGAAGUGAAACAUGGAUGAUAAACAGUUUAGAUAAAAAGAGAAUAGAAGCUUUCGAAAUAUGGUGCUACAGAAGAAUGCUGAUGAUUAUAUGGGAUAGUGACGUAACCAAGGAGGAAAUACUAAAUAGAAUUGUGGAGACCAGAGAUAUGUGACACAACUUGGUCAAAAGAAAGGAUCGGUUGAUACUACACAUUCUGAGACAUCAGGGGACUGCCAAUUUAGUAUUUGGAGGAAGUGUGUGUCAGGAAGCGGAGAAAUCGUAAACGGAGGCCAAGAGACGAAUGCAGUAAGCAGAUUCAGAAAGAUUUAGGUUUCAGUAGUUAUUCGGAGUGGAAACGCCCACACGGAUAGAGUAGCAUGGAGAGCUGCAUCAAAGCAGUCUUUGGACUUAAGACCACAACAACAACAACAACAACACGGGUACAAAUUCGCCCCCCCCCCCCUCCUGUAGGUAAUGCGUGUAAUGGAAAGUAUAUUGAUACUGGUAGGGUAAAAAGAGAAAAUGGGCUACCACUGUUCAUGUCGCUCUUCUCGUUAAGCCCGGACGUCACAAAUUUGAUGGCGGUUUAAAAAUAUUUAAUAUAAUUACCAUUGGUUAAGCACUUUUUAAUGAAAAAAAGCGCUUUCAUUGACAAAUCAUUCAGCCAAUAAAAAAGCCAAUUUAAUAACGAAUGACAUACUGUCAAUAGAGAUGUCACAGAUGAAUAAAUGUUUUUCAAGUACUUAUUGUAACAGCCUUACGUUAAAUUAGUCACAUUUCAUAACUUGAUUCGAUGACUUUCAGUGAUCAUGUUCAGAUCUAAAACUAAAAUAAAAUAAACCAUUCAUAAAUAACUAUUUAAGAAGAUAACAUAGACUGAAAAUAUUUAAAAUUUAAAAUUCUUAAAAUUUUAUCUGAAUAAGUAAAUAACAUAGAUUGACACUAUUUAAAACUUAAAAUUCUUAAAGCUUUAACUGAUUAAUGACGAGUUGUGUAAAAUCAAACACCUUUUAAAAAAGAUAUAAGCUUUAAAAUAAAAAGAAGAGGACUACAGUAAACGUGUGGCGAUUUUCAGUGGAACCCAGUGCUAUACUAACCCACUUCACAUCAUAAGCCCCAUAUGUAAUGGAUAGUGUGUAUGGGGAGGAAGACGGCUUGGAAGAGUGGCCGCAUGUACAUUGAGCCCACUGUACACAAACAGAAAAAACACACUUCAAACGCCCUCUGGUGAAUGCUUCGUGCAAUCAGCAUUUUAGACCAAAGUUGUAAUUCAAUUAUAAAUAUUAAAAAGAUGUUUGAUGUUUCAAGGUUUGUUUUAAAUUAAUUCCAGUACUCUCUUCAGGCAACAUAUUUGUUACAUUUUAAUAAACUAUAAGUGCCUCUUCUCUCCUCCUUCCAUCUUUCUCUCUCCUCUACCCAUCAUCUAUGACACGUGGUUCUGUAUGAUGCACGGUCGGUUUAGUAAAAUGCUGCAUACGACUGAAUAUUGUGUCAAGUGUACUAUACUGCUGCUCCUUUUAUUUUGCAAAUUAUGAUUAUGUUCUUUUUAGAGAACACCUUUAAAAAAAUUUGAUUUUUCACAACACAUGAUUAAUUUUAAAUGUUUUGGGUCUGUGUUAUGGACUUAUUCAGACACAAUUUUAAAAAUUUUAAUUUUAAAUAUUUUCAUUCUACGUUACGUACAUAAAUAGUUUCUGUUUUUAUUUCAUUUCAUUUCCAGAUGAUCAUUAAAUCUUAUCGAAACUUGUUAUCAAAUGUAACUGCAACUGAGACAGUUACAGUACAUAUUUUAAAAAGCUAGUUCCCUUCAUAAUUACCUGGUGUGAAGGUCCCGGCCAAAUAAAGAUUUUUAAUAAAUCUUCAACAUGUGAUUGCUUUUAGUUUGACAUUGUGGUGAAAUAUCUAUGAAAAGGUAAUAUCACCACAGUUCAAACAAUGCGAGGAGGAGUUAACUGAAAACCUAAAAAAGAAACUUAAUAAACACACGUAAAAGUAACUUCGGGUGUGCCAGGGAGGUUUUAUAGGUCCAUUACGUUUCACAGUAUGUAUAAAUGAUCCAGUAGACAACGUCGGAAGUCCAUGAUACAGUUCGUGGAUGAUGUACAGAAAAGUCGCGGCGCUAGAAAAUUGUAGCGAAAUGCAUGAAGAAAUGAAGAGGAUCGACACUUGCUGCAGGAAGUAGCAAGUGACUGUCAACAUAACAAAACGUGAGAGAUUACGUAUGUAUAGACAGAAAGAGCCUUUACUGUAUAAUUAGAAAAUUGCAGAACGAUCAUAAAAUUUCUAGGAGUUUCCGUAUGGAGAGAUUUGAAAUGAAAUGACCACAUAAUGUUAAUUGCGAGUAAGGCGGAUGCCAGACCGAGAGUCAUUGCAAGACCUCUCAGGAAAUGUACUCCAUCAACAAAGGAAGUAGCCUACAAAACGCUAGUUCGACUAAUAGUUGAACAUUGCUCGUAAGUAUGUGAUCCAUACCGGAGGAGACUGACAGAGGAAAUAGGGAAGAUACAAAGAAAAGUGGCGCGUUUUAUUAGAGAUUCGUUUAUUAAGCACGAAAGCGUCACAGAGAUGAUCAACCAACUCCUGUGGCAGACGUUUCAAGAGAGGUUUUCUGCCUCACAGCGUGGUUUAUUCUUAAGUUUCCGAUUUCGCCCCUUCCUAGAAGAGUCAACAAAUAUAUUGCUUCCCAGCGUGAAAUACCUUCCUCGCAGUGGACGUUCGCCUGUGUCCCCUUGUUGACAGACGCAAAGUACAUUUCAACGCACCCCAUAUUGAAGUUUGAAUUUGCAAUAUGCACUGAAUAACACAAUUCCUGUGAGGUAGAAGGAUCUUGAUGCUCCCCUUCGCAUGACACCUGCGCCCAACAGACAGACUAUUUUUUGCAAGGUUACGUCAAGGAUUCCAUGUAUACAACAGUCAAUGACAGUGUCCCUCCCUGUGGGCGAAUCAACAAAAGAGAAGUGAUGACUCUGCGAUGCUGGCCUGUACAUAGCCGGAACUCUAAUAUCAUCUUGAUGUUCUACGACCGACAAGUGGAUAUACAUAGAAAUUCUGGAACAACAGAAAGAAACUUGGAGAGCUGCUAAACGUUUUGAAAUCUACAACGAUGCUAUAAUAAACUAAUAGUUUCUAAGUUAUGAUUUUUCUGAAAUGAUAGCAGGACUUUGUGGACACACUAUACGUUCUGCGUACUGUCCAUAAGGGACCGAUAGCACCGAUCGACCGCUGCGUAAUCCUGUGCCAAUGGCGUCGUUAAGGUGUGGUAUGGAUAGGCGCCGGUUCAGCGCACCACUCACUCGGGAGUUAUUAAUUACCCUAGCUACUUUUCAGUCAAGUAUUUGCUCAGUUUGCAUCACGAGGCUUAGUGCAUCCUGUCUAAGCCCUGCCUCUAAGAAAAAAUGCCUGGAGGUACCGGUAACUUAUCCGGUUCCUCUACACAGCAUUCAGCUGUGCAGGCAGACAUCCUUACGUAUGUUGCAACAAAACCUAACCAUUGUAUUGUAUUGUAUGUUAACCCAGAACCCGGGGCCUAGAAACGACGGAGAGGCUCCGUCCCCGCCGCAGCCGCCGUGGUCCACAACCCCACGACGACUAUAGUCUGUAUGUAAACUCAAGAGCGAGCAACGCUUUUGGUGGGGGAAGUGGCCUUUCCCGGAAGAACGCUGCAACCAGGCUACAGGGGCACCCAAAAUCUGUUGCCCGUUACCAGUCUAGCAGUGCAGAUAGGCGUGCAGUGAUAUACGUCGUUUCUGUUCGUGGGAUCUUAGUUGCCAGUCUCAGUUAACUUUGCAUACUUACUGAUAUACUUCGAUAUCCGGAAGUGAUGGAAAAUCGUCUAGCAUUGCAAGAAAAUUUGCAGAUUACGAAGAAGAGGAGGUAUUUGGUGAGUAACGAGCGUUCUUGCGUCUCUAAUGCUAGUACAGCGUAUGUUAAAGAGGCGACACAAAAAGAACUGUUGGCUAAUAUUACCACUCCCAACCAAGCGGCUGCAAUUUAUGCAAACGUCAGCAACGUCCAACAGCACGCAUAAAGAAGGAACGCGGAAAUAAGCCGCAUGGUUUACUGGAAUCGCAACAAAUGAAAACUAAUAAUUUUGCUUUUGUGAGGAAACCAAACGUUAUAGACAGUUUCAAAAUCACGUAAAACCUUUGAUGCUUAUGGAACACUAAAUCUCUAUCUCGGUCACUAUUCACCUGAGUCUGAGACAUAUUGCUUGAAAUUUGUGCGCAAUAGCUAUUCUAAACAUUGCUGAAAUUUUCAACGAAACAUGUACAUCGAUUCUGGACUUUUAAGCAAAACGCUUUACAUUCUAGGCGCGUUCACGUAUUAAUUUUUAUUUUUUGGUAAGAACUUUAUUUGUUAAUUUAUAGCAAUGUUAUCCUCUUCAAAACAUUCCCCAUUACAUACUAUAUACUUGUGCCAGUGCUUUUUCCAAUUCUCGAAGCUCUUUAACAACUAUUUCUUCGGGGUACUUUAUAGGUCUCUUAACUGUGCUUUUUUAAUCUCAUCCAUGCUUGUAAAACCGGUGUCCUUUAAGGCCUGCUUUGAAAUGUUUAUACCACUUGUAUGCCCUUGGUUCACUCAUAACAGGCUCACCAAAAGUAAUAUUUAACAUUUCUAAAAAUUUUCUACGCUUCAUUCCAUUCCGAUAACAAAAUUUAAUACAGAUUCUCUAAUCUAUUUUUAUACAAAAAAAAUAAUCGUUGAUGCUACCAAAACAAAUGUAACCUUUUUGACAGCUGACAACAGUAAAUACCCAAUAUGCAUAACAUUGUACACAUACUUUUGAGACAUGUUUACGAAGACAGUGACAAAAAAAGUAGUGCAAAUCGGACUAACACAAAAAAUUAUAAAUUUCUGCUUACUUUUUAAACACUCUUCAUGUUGCAAGAAUUGUUAAGUUUCAAUACAGUUAUUCAAAGAAAACUUCUACCUUCCAGUAGAAGCACAAAGUGAGAUCAAGCCUUAAAUUCAACAGAUUGAUUGCAUUAUGUGCAGUCCGUUUUACGAAUAGCAAUAGAAGACCAUAUAUUCACACGAACAGGCAUUCGGUUCUAUGUUUGUAGUAGAAUCCUGACUUCCAUUCUUAUGUUAAUAUUAUUUACUCUAUUGUUGUGCUUCGAAAGAAGCUAUCGUUUUCUGUUCCUUAUUGUUUUAAUGCAUUUGUCUAAAAACAAACGCAGGCGAGACGUAUCUGUACACGGCGUCGCCACAGAUUUAAAUCGCGCGCCGCGGCAGUGCCGGUACUACGUUAUGAAACGGCCUGUAGAAGCGCCUUGUGACGUAGCUGCGUUGGCAGAGUGGGGACUCGCUCGCUCGCUCUUCAGUUUACCGACAGACUAUACCACAGUCCACUUCACCCCUCCGCCGCCCACACCGAACCACUCUUUCUGGGUUAUUGCGCGGUUCGGUCCCCGGCCCGGUGGACCCCCCCCCCCCCCCUCCACCCAGGGAACGUCUCGCACCAGACGAGUGUAACCCCUAUGUUUGCGUGGUAGAGUAAUGUUGGUGUACGUGUACGUGGAGAACUUGUUUGCGCAACAAUCGCCGACACAGCGUAGCUGAGGCGGAAUAAGAGGAACCAGCCCGCAUUCGCUGAGGCAGAUGGAAAACCGCCUAAAAACCAUCCACAGACUGGCCGGCUCACCGGAUCUCGACACAAGUCCGCCGGGCGGAUUCGUGCCAGGGACCAGGCGCUCCUUCGCAAUCCGAAAAGCAGUGUGGUAGACCGCACGGCUAACCGGGCGGGGAAACCUAACCACGCAUCCGUGAAUGAGUCGGAAAUUAAUCUUAUACAACGAAAAGAAAGAAAAUUGAAAAUAUCAGGCAGGAUACAGACAGGGCCGUUCUUGUCCAGAGCAGACGUCAGAGGAUUUGUAACAAAAACUGAGUCUGCAGAUUUGUUAAUUUCAAAAAAGCCUAUGACGCUCUUGACUGCGCAUCACUCUUUUCGAUAUUAAAAGAAUAAAGUCUACAUCUGAAACCACCUGCAGCCAUAAAAUAGUCACUGACAGGCUCAAAAUGCAAGGCUAAAUUUAUGGGAGUAAUCUCACAUCCUUUCGAAAUCAAAAUGGGAGUAAGACAAGGAGAUGGGCUGUCUCCAUUACUUUUCAACUGCGCCUUCCAGAAAAAAGUUACAAUAAUGAUGCAAACAGGUAUCAAUCUUCAAAGUUGAGCAACCACUUACUUUAGGCAGAAGCAAAAUGUCCAUAGAUUGUCUACCUUAGAGACGAUUAAGCAAUCUUAAUUUGUAAUAUUCCAUCAGCCCAAAAUCAGAAUGAAUUCUUAAAAAAAAAUGCUGCAGAAAACUCGGUCACCAUAUAUCUUUUGAAAAGACACUAAAAGUGACAGGCAACAACCGAGCACCAAAAUUUGUGGAGACGUAAUAUGGCACAAUUAAAGAAGAUACACAGUUCAAUUAUCUCGGUGAAACAAUUCAGGAAAAUGGAAUCGAAACGAAAGUAAACGAUAUUAAAUACCAAUGGUGGAAACAACAUAUCGACUUACCCAAGAUAUUCUACAAAAAGAAAUGUAUCUGCAGGUACAAAAAAAUUAAGAUAUUACAGUACAGAAAUUAAACUAGAAUGCCGCUAUGGAAUAAAAACAUUAAUUUUAAACAGGAAAAUAGACACUGAAAACGUUGAGAAAAAGGAACGCAAAAUCAUAAGAAAAUUUGUAGACCAAAGCUUGUAAGCAUGUAAAUGAAUAACAUCCACUUAGACACAAACAGGAAAUCAAACAAUGGACAAAUACCCGUAAUGAUAUUAGCGAACGCUGGUUAGGAUUCCAUGGACACAUUAAAAGAAGGAACACAGGAACGCUUACAAAACAAAAGGUUGAGUUCUUUCACAACAGCAGUAAAGCGAAAACGGAUAAGAUCAAAUAGACUGGCAUAGAUCAAAAAUGAUCCGUAAUUUACUAAUUUCCAGGAUUCUGGAAGGCCUGACGUCAGCAACUCUAUAGUUUACGAAAUUAUGGAAUAAAUUGCAGAGAAAUGUCGAAGUUGCUAAGUAUUAAUCCUCUGUAUUACUUAAUGGCUAGUUUCGAGCCUAACCUCGUUAUCAAAUCAUCAUUAAAAAGAGAAACCAGAUAGCAAGUACUUUCCACAUUACAAAACAGUGCCACACUACAAAGAUCACUUAUGAUAACUGGUACGUACCACAAACCUAUGCAAUAACAUCAUUACAGCAACCACAUAACUAUUCAUUCCAGUUAAACACAUCUUGUAAAGUAAUGCGGGGCUGAACUUCAUUCACAUAACUGAGGCGCCGCAUUGUGGAAGGUAUUAGGAAGACUACAAUGGGAGCGCUUACCGGUACUGCACCGUCGAGCAGCAAUUUUAUUUUACAUAUUUUCUUCAUUUCCUCUUUUUUUACUUUUUUUUACUUUUUUCAUAAAGUGAUUAUUGCACAUUCGGUAACAAGUUUUGCAAACUACGUAUUUCAAAUACAACAAAAGACUUUGCAUGAAGAUAUUUAAGCUACAGUUUGUAACGAAAGCAAAAAGGCGUCUGGACGUCGAUGAAUCCAAUUUUGAACGCCUCCAUCACGCUAGUAAUAGGAAAACAAGUCUUCAAAACACGAACAAAUAGAUCCAUAGACAAAUUUUUAACCCACAACUUAGUGCGAUAUGGCAGGGUAAAAAAUUCCUACAGUAUUGAAACCAUACAUUCAGGUAGAAAACAAUUACAUAAAGUCAGACACAAAACAGUGGUAAGACCACAUCGCCAAGUAUAAAGUAUUACAUACAGCCAGAAAUAAUUGGCAGAAGCUACACCAGAUGACGUCCAAAACGGCGAAAUCUUCGGGUCCAAAAUUAACAAAUGACAAGUUGACGAAGAGAAAAAAAGUAUAGCAGAAGACUGGAAAAACGUAUCCUGAGGAGAGGAAAGAAGUACACAGGAAGAGAACGAAAGUAAUGUAAGCAAGAAUGAAGGCAAAUACCCACAUCUAAAUGCAUUGUUUAUUCUCGUGUGACAAAAUACCAAUAAAAAGUAAUUACCUUCUUAUAUUUUUGGGGCUACAGUCGUGUAUUAAAGUUGAAAUGAUAGUUCCGCCAUUUUAGUGCACAAACGUUUUUUAUUUUAUUUUAUGGUACUCUCAUGAUCUCGGCCUUAAGUCACUAUGAAAUACGACAAUGGUGGGUAUAAUUUGAGUUAACCGAGUCUAAUAAUAUCCAACAGUGUUGUAUCUGACAAUGGCUUAUGGCCGAAAUCUGAUAGUCGUCUGUUUAUAAAAAGCAGUGUCCAGACAGGCUAACCCACUCACCCAUACACUCAUCAUCACCCAGCCCAAACCGCAAAGUAAAGAAACAUGAAAUUCGGAAAAGGUGUUGAUCUUAUGCUACAGACGCCGUUUAAGGAGGGGUUUUUGCGAAGAUCCAGCCGUAAGGGGGACGAAAUAGGGGGUGACAGGUUUUUGAAAACAUGUCGCCAUUAAGGCAGUUUUCGUAGUCAGACCUACGAAAUUCGCUAUUUAGUUUCUCGGUCAGAAACAAAGAAAUACAAGUUUCAACAUUAUUUUACAUUUGACCCCUAUGUGGAUGAAAUAGCGGGUAAAAGAUUUUUUUGAAAAUAAAAGAUUAUCGAAGUACUACUAUAGUAUUUUUAAAGUAACAUGUACGAAAAUUGGUAUUUGACUUUUCGGUUGCAAAUAAAAAAGAAUACAUAUUGCAGCAUUUUUGGAAAUUCGACUCCUAAAUGGCUGAAAUAAGAGAUGAAAUGUUUUAUAAAAUGUUUCAUUAUGAACGCAUUUUCAGAGCUAAAUCUACAAAAAUUUGCAUUUGGCUUCUCGGUUAGAAAAUUGAACACCUAAGGGGGUGAAAUAUGGCCAGACUGGCUCAGUGACUCAUCAUCAACCAGCCUAAAUCGCCAAGCACAGGAAAUUGAACUUAAGAGAGAGUGUGGCUCUUAGACUGUAGGUAUCGUUUAAGAAGGGAUUAUUCUAAGUUCCACCCCUAACGCGGAUGAAAUAGGGGAUGGAAGGCUUUUUGAAAAUAUGUCGCUAUUUCGAAGACAGAACUAUGAAAAUUAGUAUUUGGUUUCUCAGUCAGGCAUAAAAAAAUGUGUGUCUCAGCAAUUUUGGAAAUUUAGCCAUUAAGGGGGUAAAAUAGCGGGAGGAAGUUUUUUGUAAAUAAUUCGUUAUUAAGGAGUAAAGCAUUUUUAAAGCUACGUCUACGAAAAUUGGUAACUGACUUCUCAGUUACAAAUAAAAAAAAGGCGUGUUUCGGUGUUUUUGGAUGUUCAACCUCGUAGGGGGUAAACAUUAUGAAGAAAGUGUUUUGUUGAAACAAAAAGUAUUAAAAGUUAAAUCCACGAAAACUGGUGUAAAGCCAGCCGGAGUGACCGAGCGGUUCUAGGCGCUAUAUUCUGGAACUGCGCGACCACUACGGUCGCAGGUUGGAAUCCUGCCUCGGGCAUGGAUAUAUGUGAUGUCCUUAGGUUAGUUCGGCUUAAGUUGUUCUAAGGUUCUCGGGGACUGAUGACCACAGAUGUCAAGUCCCAUAGUGCUCAGAGCCAUUUGAACAAUUUAAACUGGUGUAAAGAAAUAUGUGUUAGGGGAUGAAAGUUCCUGUGGAAGUAUGGCUACAAGGACGCAAAAGGCACGGUUAAACAGAAUAGCUGUUUGGUCAGAAGUACAUUCGGAAAAGCAGUAAUACUGUGGCCUUAAUUAGCAUGAAAAGCUUAGAUGAUGUUCCAUUUUGUAAACAACAUAAAAAUUUGAUUACAGAGGAACAAAAAAAAUCUGUGCAGACCAUACUGACUAAGCGAGCGAAGCAGCGGGCGCUACGAUUGAGUAAAAUAAGGAAGUUUGUACAAUCAAAUGGCGGAAAGAGCGUAUCAUUAAAACAGUUAACAGUAACCCCUGCCAUGUACUUGACGGUGAUUCGGAGAGUAUGAAUGCAGAUUUAAUGCGUAGUGCGAGGUUUAUGUGGCAGAACCGGAGAAUGAGGUGAAGUGGGUGGAGCGCAGGUGAAGAGCAGGCGCGGCCAGGGUCAAGGCGCGCCGCGGACAAUGGCCCUGGUGGUAGGUAGGCCACUGCGGAGAGCCGCGCGCGCCCAAAUCAAUAAGGAGCCCCGAACAGCCACCGCAGGCCGGAAGCGCGGCACCCAGCCGGCCGGGACUCCACGCUCAGGUGGGAGUCAACUGGGGAUGGGCUAACAGCGAACUUCUAUUAAGUUAUUUUUCUGUAACUGGUAUUUUAGUUCUAAUUUGUUAGAGUUUGAAAUAACGGUUUGCGAAUUCACCAUCUGUAUCCCUCCACCAUCGUUAAACGUUCUUUCUCUUAUCUAUCAUUGUAGCUGUCACAUUGCCAUUUCACGUAUCCGUAACUGGCAUAGUCAACGGCCUUGGCCGGCCGGUGUGGCCGAGCGGUUCUAGGCGCUUCAGUCUGAAGCCGCGCGACCGCUAAGGUCGCAGGUUGCAAUCCUGCUUCGGGCAUGGAUGUGUGUGAUGUCUUUAGGUUAGUUAGGUUUAAGAAGUUCUAAGUUCUAGGGGACUGGUGACCUCAGAUGUUAAGUCCCAUAGUGCUCAGAGCCAUUUGAACCAUUUGAACCAACGUCCUUACUGCAGGGGUAACGUGAAAACAUCAUCCGCUAAGCCACAACGCGGACGAAAAUGAGUGUUCAGUGACCGUGACAGACGGUCAUUGAAGAGACUGUGACGAGAAAGACGAGGACGCUUCGUUACAGGAUCAUUUAGUAAUUGCGAAAGCGUUACGGAGAUGAUAGAUAAACUCCAGUGGAAGACUCUGCAGGAGAGACGCUCAGUAGCUCGGUACGGGCUUUUGUUAAAGUUUUGAGAACAUACCUUCACCGAAGAGUCAAGCAGUAUAUUGCUCCCUCCUACGUAUGUCUCGCGAAGAGACCAUGAGGAUAAAAUCAGAGAGAUUAGACCCCACACAGAAGCAUACCGACAAUCCUUCUUUCCACGUACAAUACGAGACUGGAUUAGAAGGGAGAACCGAUAGAGGUACUCAGGGUACCCUCCGCCACACACCGUCAGGUGGCUUGCGGAGUAUGGAUGUAGAUGUAGACGACAUCUGCAAAACUAUCACAGUCGCGAAUUCUGUCAGCACUAAAACAACACGAAGGCAGCUCCAUAAGCUUGGAACUCCGGGACCAGCACGAAUUCCAAAACCACUCAUCAGAAAGAUGCAAGUACUCGUAACAGGAACAUGUGGCGCCGAAGCCACAUAACCUGGACCAUGGAGCAAUCAAAAAUGUCAUUUGGUCGGAUGAGUCUUGCUUCACAUUGUUUCCAACUUCUGUCCGAGAUUAAAUCCCGAGAACGAAUCGUCGUGAGGUAUCUCUGAUGAUUUGAGCAGCUAUAGUUUAGUGUUCCGUGGAGCUGAUGGCCACUCUGUAAGGCCGUAGUAUUGCCUAGCAUUAUGUAACGAUUGUCGCUGGCCGAGAUUAAAUCCCGGGAGCGAAUCGUCGUGAGGUAUCUCUGAUGAUCUGAGCAGCUAUAGUGUAGUGUUCCGUGGAGCUGAUGGCCACUCUGUAAGGCCGUAGUAUUGCCUAGCAUUAUGUAACGAUUGUCGCUGGCCGAGAUUAAAUCCCGAGAGCGAAUCGUCGUGAGGUAUCUCUGAUGAUUUGAGCAGCUAUAGUUUAGUGUUCCGUGGAGCUGAUGGCCACUCUGUAAGGCCGUAGUAUUGCCUAGCAUUAUGUAACGAUUGUCGCUGGCCGAGAUUAAAUCCCGAGAGCGAAUCGUCGUGAGGUAUCUCUGAUGAUCUGAGCAGCUAUAGUGUAGUGUUCCGUGGAGCUGAUGGCCACUCUGUAAGGCCGUAGUAUUGCCUAGCAUUGUGUAACGAUUGUCGCAGGUCAGGUCCAUCCCACGGUACGAUAUCUGUUUCCCAGUCGUGAUGCUGCGUUCCAAGACGGAAGGGUCACUCUUCACAUGCCUCGUAUCGUCCAACACUGGUUUUGAGAGAAGAAGGCUGAGUUUUCGCAUCUCCUCUGACCAUCUCGGUCACCAGAUCUCAAUAUUAUUGAACCUUUGUGGUCUACUUUGGAGAGUGAUCGCGAUCUACCAACGUCAUCAUUAGCUGAUCGUGCAGUUAUUUUGCACGAAGAAUUGUAUAAGAUUCCCUUGCGAAUUAUACUGGACUGUAUUUAUCCAUUUAGAAACGACUGAAAGUGCUUUAAAUGGCAACCGGUUUCCUACACCGUAUCAGGCAUGGUAACGUAUUGCAUUUAUGGUGAUUCCCUGCUCCCACUGUAAAUCUGCUAACUGGUACAUCAGGGCAAAUGAACUAUGUCUAAUCAACUGAAGUGAUUGUUCUCCCCUGUGAAAGUCAUCACUUGUCAGAAUCUAAGGGUAGCGCUUUUACUAACGCAAAUGACUAAAAUGUACAUGAGGUGAUAUUGUUAUUAUCUCCAAACUAAUCUUCAUCGGCUGUGACGUGAUAGGCUAGAGUGAAAUAUUGUAACCCUCAACGAAAUCUUGGUUGUGGCGACAGACUGAUCUGUAGCAUGACUCGAGGUUUAGGUUAGGCUGAAAGGAGAUAAUUUGGUUGUGAGUUGGUGGAGCCAACGAAUGUCAAUGCCAAAUAAAGGUUAUGUAAACAGAUUAUCCUGCAACGUAGCGUAAUGUUUACGUUCACGCCAUAUUUAAACACAAUUUGCUACAUUUAAUGUCCUUUUCAUCAUGAAAACUAAAACUACAGUGUAAAUGCAGAUUACGUAUCUUAUAUAGUGGACAGGACUCUACAAGUAUUUUGACUCAUAUUAUGUACCGUACAUAAAAUUCGAAUAAUGUAGCGGGUGAGAGUGAAGAGGGAUGUGCAUUACGUAACUUUCACCACGUGAUAAACUAAAGUUAUAUAAAACGUAGACACGGUUGUUCACAGAGAAAAUGUUAUCCCAACAGAACAGUCUGUAGCCAAUACGGUUUACAUUUCUUCUUCCUCUGGCUUCAGAUUUUGCAGUAAAGAAACAAGUGUGAAAAUAUUAAUGGUGACAUGUUGAGGAUCGUAAAAUAUAAUUCCACGCAGGGCAGUAAGAGUUAGAAUUCAAAAUACGUGGUUAACUUUUUCAACCAUUGAUAGGCUAUACAUCGAUAGCGUGAGACACAAAAUUCUUAGAACGAAGUAUAAACGUCGAUCAACCAAUGGCAUAUGGCGUCGAAUGUUAUAAUGCUACUUUUAGUCGCUACCUGUGAUUUAUACUGCUCUUGAUAACAGUCAAAAUAACAUUAUAACAGUCAACACUUCAUAGCGUGACACAAGGCUUUUAGAAUGACGUACGAACUGAGAUGGCACAGGGCGUUGAAUGUUACAGUGCUAUUGUUAGUCGUUGUUUGUGGACAGCAGAAAUAAAAAUUUUAACAGCCGAAAUUACUUUAUAACAACCGAAGUAACAUGUAAUGUCCGCGGUAGUACUAAUGCAGUGAAAGUACUUAUAGAUGGCACGUUGUCUAGUUGUGAGUGAAACGACAGCCGGGUAUUGACCAUUUGUUACUGUGAAAUAUGUGUUUUCUAAACCAGUUGUGAUCUGUUAUCAAUUAAGUUCUUUCUUCCUCCCCCCCCCUCCCCCCCACCUCCACAUCCCGCUUCCCCACCUCAGUGUGGACACUGCGAGCGCCUACAGGAGCGUCCUUCACACAUUCGGAAACACUUCACGAAUCUUGCAGUCUUGAAGCACAUUGCGUGUAAGAUUUCUUUAUAGAUCUGGAACCACUGACAGAGAUAGCGCAGUACCAGUUGUUCACUCUAAGAAGAAUAAUGGCCCAGUGGCUCAUGGGAAUAGAACUCGAUUGGCUGCGGCCGGUAGCGGCAGCUUUCACGACGCAGCCAACCUCAUCAUUCUCAGAGAACAGACGACGCGUCGCUUAAUUGCUUCAGCGAAAUCGUAAACGAGGCCAGACAUAACACGCAGAGUUAAAUAUUACAGAACUGCUGCAUGGAACUGAGUUUUCUGUUGGUUAAAUUUACUGAUAUAACGAGGUACACACUCUUUGCACACAGUAUUCAAAGCUAAGGGUACUAGCCACCGGAAAGAAAUGAAUACUUUCCGAAGUCAUACACCGCUACUUUCAUCUGUCACCCCACCUAGACUGUUCUUAGAGCGAAUGAGUAACACAUGUAAAAUCAUACAGCUUCUCACGUGUUUGGUCACGGCACAAAGCUUUAUAUCAGUGACACGAAGCAGAAAAGUUGGGGAAUUUAACUCUUCUCGAAGAUUACUUAUUUUUCCUUUUUUAUCAUUAUUAACCAGGAUUAAGCGUAGAUUUUCAUUGUCAUGGAAUCUCCACUUCUAAAUGUAAAUAAUUCAAGGAGAACUUCGGGGAAGUUGGCAGGAAUAAGGCUGUGAGGGUAGGUUACAGUCGCGUCCGGGUAUCUCAAAAAAUAGUUCAAAUGGCUCUGAGCACUAUGGGACUUAACUUCUGAGGUCAUCAGUCCCUUAGAACUUAGAACUACUUAAACCUAACUAACCGAAGGAUAUCACACACACACCCAUACACGACGCAGGAUUCGAACCAGCGGCCGUAGCGGUCACGCGGUUCCAGUCUGUAGCUCCUAGAGCCGCUCGGCCACCCCGGCCCGCUGGAUAUCUCAGUCUGUAGAAUAUUUGCCCGCGAAAGGCAAAAGCUCCGGGUUCGAACCCCGGUCCAUCACCCUGUUCUAAUCUGUCAGGAAUUUUCAGAUAGCAGAUUUAAUAGCUACUAACCACUUCAAAACGUGGCAAUGUCGACAACAAUGUAAACCGAGCCCCGUGAGGGCAAAUGAGAAGACGCUUGAUAAAACAGGUAGUGAAACUGAAGUGCAAGCCGCCGAAAAGGCAUCAAAUAGAAAGACUUGCUCCGUGCUACUACAUGUCACACGUGAUUUAUUUAUUUACUAUAACUCACAUCGCACCCGUAACGACGCAACGUACUAUGAUCGAGCUAGGGAAUAGGAAGCUUUCAGUACUAUAAAACAAGAAGUGAUCUGAGAUGCAAGGAAGUCCAGAAUUGUCAGAACAGCAAAAUAUGUCACUUUGAAUAGCUCAGCUGUUGUCGACCUAUAGCUAAUAUUUUAAAUAUUUAUGAGUUACAGACCAAAAUGUUUGAAAAUAGAAACAAGUCAUCGUUUUUCAGUUAAAGCGUUAUCCACAAACAGCCGAAGAAAGAAUGAGCAUGUCAAAAUGAGUUUUGUUGUUUUGGCAGUAAAGUAACCGGAAAUGGCAGAAGUGAAGAGAACGUAAAAUGCUGACUGGCAAUAACAAUAAAUUAAAAUGUAACUAUUAGGAAUUCUUUUCUGCAGGUAUUUCUCUUGAAAGUAGCUUUGUACGUAAGUGAAACGUAGACGAUAAACAAUUCAGAUGAGACGAGGAAAGAAGAUUUUGAAAUGUGUUGCUGCAGAAGAAUGUUGUAGGUCAGACAGGCAGAUCAAAUAUAUGCUGACGAGGUGCUGAAUAUAACUGGAGACAAAAAACAAUUUACGGCACAAUUUCACUGAAAGUUGGGAUCGUUCGAUAGGACACAUUCUUAGGGAUCACAGAAUCGUCGAAUUGAUAAUGGAGGGAAUUACGGUGACUAAAAAUUGGGAAGGAAGACCUAGGUUUUACUGCACUUAUCACGUUCACAUAUAUGUACAAUAGUUAUGCAGAGAUGAAAAUUCUUCCAUGGGAUCAGUAGAGAAAUUUAGGAAUCUGAGAGAUACGUUUAGCUAACAUUACAGGGAGUCUUAAAAAGAAACGAACACGUGAAACCAAUGGCAACAAAACGAACGGAGGACUCAGAUUUGUUCAAAGGAUUCUGCAACAGUGGAAUGCAUCUUUUACAGUAACUGCAAGCAAGUUGUUAUACACAAAUUCUAAACUUCAGCUAAAGUGCGGGGGGUUCUGCCACUGAAGGAAACAAAAAUUGAAAAAGGUGACAUGAAAGAGUGUCACACAUGAUCAGGGCAGCAUAAAGCAGUUCGAAGAUGUCAUGACCCAGAGUCGCAACCCUGUUAUGUUCACUUCGAUAGCUCAGCUGUCAGUGCGAUGGAUUUCUAACCGAAGUGGCCCGGGUUCGAUUCCCAGCCAGGUCGGAGGUUUCUUUACUCUGAUACUGGAAGUUGUGUUGUACUUACGUUCGUAUCGUUAAAAAAUCCUGCAAGAUAGGCAUCCCUCCAGCACAGGAGGAUGAACGGGAAAGCCUAUGCAGCCAGGCGAAACAAGUUGGAGUGCGAAUUCUAACAGUCAACUUCUGAGAUCGUUAGCAGCGUGGAGCUGUUUCACGUCACUCAUAUGUGACACAAAUUAUGUAGAGCUUUAGUGUCAACGGGCAUAAGUAUAUAUCUGGCGCUUUGCAGCUUUCAGAUACUUAAACUGCAGAAACAAAGAAAAGGUACGUAUUAACGUGUGAUGUGAAACCACCUUUGUUUUGUGGAGGCCAUUGUCCUGUUUCUCUCUACGAUAGGUAAACGUCUACAAUGAAUGGAGGAAUUAAACAAAUAAAGAAUGCAGGUCAGAAAAUCAGUUAUUCGACAAUCGACCAGAAAAUAAUGCCGCACAUUUUCUUUCUCAGCCGACUGCAAAAUGGCGAAUUUGAAACGUCAGGCAUGAAUUCUUUGAUGUUUCUUUAUUGCGCACGCAAAUUUCCUUUCCCGUUGAAAGAUAGGAUUGCUGCAGUAAUGUUUCGAAAUAUCGUCAGUGAGUCAUGCACUUAAGUAGCAGCGUGUCAUCAUUGCAUUUGUCAUUGUGGAAAAAAAGCUGUGGGGAAGGCCCACAAACGUUUGUGUAAAAUCUGUGGAGCAUCUCCGGUCGACAGGAGUACAACUGGUCACUGGACUUAGAUGAUGAAGCAAUCAGAAGGAGAUCGGUGGAGGUCUGUGAUUUGCAGCGAGCGGAGCGGUCAUACACACCUGUAAUGUUGCAGCGGGCCCAUGUUCUCAUUUGUGAGGAUCGAAGCACUGCGAUUCGGCAGUUGGCGUUGCUGCAGACAAUCAUCAAAGCAAGUGUUGGGGCAGUUAUCCACGCUGUUUAGUACUUAAAAGUAAAAGCGUGUGCAAGAUAUGUCUCAGCCCUUCUGAUCACAUUACGAAACAGAGUUCGACAGUGUCACCCCAUCCACGCUAUAACCCUGAUCUAGGUCAAGUUCCACUUGUUUGGGCAAUCAAAUGAUAGCAUUUGUCGAAGACAUUUUGAGGACGACAACGAGGUGUCUCUCGCCGUGAAACAAUGGCAUCAUGACCAGAACAAGGACAGAUACCUUCAGGGCGUACACACCAAUGUGUCUCGCUGGAGGAAAUCCAUAGAACAUGAAGGGGAUAACGUGAAAAAAUAGGAUGUGUAGAUAAAACAUCAUUCUUACUAGUGUAUAAUUAUGGUUCAUGGAAUAAAUAACUGUUGAAGGGAAAAAUGUGCGAUAUUACUUUCUUGGCAACCCUCGUAGUGACACUAAAUUGUCGCGUAACCAACAUACUACACUCAUGUUCAGAAAAAACAGAACACCUUGAACGACUCGAGCUAGGUCGUUCAUAUUCGCAGGACAUGUACAUUAGUAUGUUCUGCAGAAAUGAUGAGCAUUUUAACCACGUAGGCCCGCCACUUCAAGGGCAACAUCGAUAUCGCGGAGCAACACCACCCGCCGGCAAAAUGUGCCUGCGGCUCUCGUUCUACAUCUAUAUCUAUAUCCACAUAGACACUCUGCAAAUCACAUUUAAGUGCCUGGCAGAGGGUUCAUGGAAGCACCUUCACUGUUCUCUAUUAUUCCAAUCUCGUAUAGCGAGCGGAAAGAAUGAACACCUAUAUCUUUCCGUACGAGCUCUGAUUUCCCUUAUUUUAUCGUGGUGACCGUUCCUCCCUAUGUAGGUCGGUGUCAACAAAAUAUUUUCGCAUUCGGAGGAGAAAGUUGGUGGCCGGAAUUUCGCGAGAAGAUUCCGUUGCAACGAAAAACGCCUCUCUUUUAAUGACUUCCAGCCCAAAUCCAGUAUGAUUUCUGUGACUCUCUCUCCCAUAUUUCGCGAUAAUACAAAACGUGCUGCCUUUCUUUGAACUUUUUAGAUGUACUUCGUCAGUCCUUCCUGGUAGGGAUCCCACACCGCGCAGCAGUAUUCUAAAAGAGAACAGACAAGCAUAGUGUAGGCAGUCUCCUUAGUAGGUCUAUCGCAUUUUCUAUAUCUCGCCAUAAACCGAAGGUAAUGAUUCAGUAUGACUUUAACACACUUUCACAAUGUCUCGCAGACAUAUGUGCGAACCGUACCGUCAGAUAAGCCACUUUGAAAGAGGACGCAUUAUUGGCUUGAGAGAAUGUGGUGCAUCCAUCCGAGAAAUUGCUGCUCGUGUUGGACAAAGUGUUUCGGCAGUCCAAGGUUCUGUGCAGAAUGGUUCACAGAAAGCCUACAACGCGGCGAGCUGGGUCAUGUCGCACUACUCAGCAGUGAAGCAGAGUAACACAUCGUACACCUACUUUUGACGAAUGAGCACAAACAUGCUAGAUGCAGUGGUGAAUGAAACAAUGUCACUGGGGACAGGAAUGGCAUCAGGGAGUGUUUUCGGACAAAUCCAGUUUCUGUUUGUUUGAAAAUGAUGACCGCAUUGGGGUUCGCCGCAGACAAGGGGAGCGCCAUCUCACUGACUGCAUUCGUACAGGGUACACACCGCCAACUCAAGGCCUUAUGGAAUUGGGUGCUAUUGGCUACGACCACAAAGCGCAGUUGGCGAAUGUCCAGAGCACUGUGACCAGUGUGACCCACGUGAAUGACAACCUGCUUCCCGAAGCCACAUCCCUUCAGCACAACAUCCCCAGACGCCAUUUUUCAGCAACCAAUACACGACAUCAUCUUGCUGCACGAACACUUGACGUCUUGGUGUCACAGAAUGUCAGCCUUUUGCCCUGACCUGCCAGAUCACCAGACUUAUCCCUAAUCAAGAAUACACUACUGGCCAUUAAAAUUGCUACACCAAGAAAAAAUGUAGAUGAUAAACGGGUAUUCAUUGGACAAAUAUACUAUACUAGAACUGACAUGUAAUUACAUUUUCACGGAAUUAGGGAGCAUAGAUCCUCAGAAAUCAGUACCCAGAACUACCACCUCUGGCUGUAAUAACAGCCUUGAUACGCCUGGGCAUUACGUCAAACAGAGCUUGGAUGGCGUGUACAGAUACAGCUGCCCAAGCAGCUUCAACACUAUACCACAGUUCAUCAGGAGUUGUGACUGGCGUAUUGUGACGAGCCAGUUGCUCGGCCACCAUUGACCAGACUUUUCAAUUGGUGAGAGAUCUGGAGAAUGUGCUGGCCAGGGCAGCAGUCGAACAUUUUCUGUGUCCAGAAAGGCCCGUACAGGAGUUGCAACAUGCGGUCGUGCAUUACCCUGCUGAAAUGUAGGGUUUCGCAGGGAUCGAAUGAAGGAUAAGGCCACGGGUCGUAACACAUCUGGAAUGUAACGUCCACUCUUCAAAGUGCCGUCAAUGCGAACAAGAGGUGACCGACACGUGUAACCAAUGGUACCCCAAGCCAUCACGCCAGGUGAUACGCCAGUAUGGCGAUGACGAAUACACGCUUCCAAUGUGCCUUGACCGCAAUGUCGCCACACACGGAUGCGAACAUCAUGAUGCUGUAAACAGAACCUGGAUUCAUCCGAAAAAAUGACGUUUUGCCAUUCGUGAACUCAGGUUCGUCGUUGAGUACACCAUCGCAGGCGCUCCUGUCUAAGAUGCAGCGUCAAGGGUGACCUUAGCCAUGGUUUCCGAGCUGAUAGUCCAUGCUGCUGCAAACAUUGUCGUACUGUUCAUGCAGAUAGUUGUUGUGCAAACGUACCCAUCUGUUGAGACGUGGCUGCACGAUCCGUUACAGCCAUGCGGCUAAGAUGCCUGUCAUCUCGACUUCCAUAUUCUGCUAACAGUCAUUGGAUCUCGACCAACGCGAGCAGCAAUGUCGCGUUACGAUAAACUGCAAUCGCGAUAAGCUAAAAUCCGACCUUUAUCAAAGUCGGAAACGUGACGGUACGCAUUUCUCCUUACACGAGGCAUCACAACAACGUUUCACCAGGCAACGCCGGUCAACUGCUGUUUGUGUAUAAGAAAUCGGUUGGAAACUUUCCUCAUGUCAGCACGUUGUAGGUGUCGCCACGGACGCCAACCUCGUGUGAAUGCUCUGAAAAGCUAAUCAUUUGCAUAUCACAGCAUCUUCUUCCUGUCGGUUAAAUUUCGUGUCUGCAGCACGUCAUCUUUGUGGUGUAGCAAUUUUAAUGGCCAGUAGUGUACUUGGAGUGAGGACGGACUGGAGUGGAUUAUGACUGUUAUGAAAAUGAAGUGAAGCUGACUGGGAGUUGGGAUGACCAAGGAUAUUAUUUUUGCAAUUCCACGAGAAAGUAAAGCUCACGUGGAAUCAGGAAAGAAAUGAUGAAGAUCAUGAUAAUGAUGAUAAUGGUAAUGAUAAUCAUGAUAAUUAUGACAGUGGAGACGGGACCUUAUGGAGACAUGACCUCAUGGACGAUUCUUACUCAAUGAUUCGUGAACGAUGUGUGGCCAUAAUUGUACUCUUACAAGUCGGUAAAUGGCAAAAGGAAGUCAAAGUCGCAUUCCAACAAAGCACACAUGUGCGCAAUAUUCUGAUACGAAAGCCACGUCGGAGACCCUCUGCCAGCCUUCCUGCGUCAUUUAGCUAGAGAUGAGACGGAAGCCAAUCUCGGCAGACAAACAUUAGCUGUGGGGCACGGAGCAUGCAUGCAGCGUGUUUGUUCGUAGCGGAUCGAAGCCACUCACUCGUCUGCUUCCCUGCUCUCCACCUGUCUCACCGUAGUACGUCUACCUGGCGAACAUCCCCCCAGAGACUUCCAGAAAUAUUUACAUUGUUUCUCGUAGCAUUCUCUGCACACUUUUAGCUUACGGUCAGCAACAGAAUAAAGAUUUGUAUAAUACCGCUAACCAGGUAUCCCCCUGUUCAAGUAAAUGGCGUAGAGAAGAAAACAAUCGGUAAUUAGCAACAAGUUGUAGUAAACCUUUCAUUUAACGCAUCUUAGAUCAUAAGGCCUCAUGAACAAGUACUCCAUAUUACUCAAAUGCUUGACGCGAAAAUAUUGCAAUAACAGAGUUCAGGCAAUUGUUACGGCAAAACAAAUGUCUACAUCAUAGUGAGGUCUGAAGUCGUGAAAAGUGUAGCAUAAAACUACAAACUUUGUGUGGCCACAUAAAAUGUACCAUAAACCAAGAAUUAUUUACUACAGCCUAUUGGCAAUAAAGUGUCUUGUCCGUCAAGUAAUUACAAUAAAAAAAUAACGUACUUUGUAACUCAUCCUCAUAAAAACUCGUGGUACACAUUUACUUGAAAACUAUGAAACUAUGAAAGUUUCUGCAAUGUGUUACUGGCAGUGUUACACGAAUUCAUACUUCGUUAAUGUUCGUAAUAGCCUAACUCGUGAUUUAUUUCCACUAAAUAAUAACUGCCAGUCCAAUGGAAUACACAAGUACUGAAUUCUGAGUGUGCCUCUCUUGGAAAACAACAUACAGACGAAUGACAAACAUUCACAUGUUAUUGCAAAGUUCUGGUAGUACCAAAAAAGCCUUAUAAACAGUCGUCGUUAACAAAAAGAUGGAAAGCAAAUAACAAUCGAAAACCUGAUUAAAAACAGUACUGCAGAAAUAGGUUUAUUGCGUAAUUAACACCUUCCAGUGUGUUGAGCUGAUUAAAAUUCUCGUGGUAAGUUGUAAUUUAUAAGACUAUUCUUCCUGAAAAAAUUCUUUUGUCCACUAAAGUAUUUAAAUAGCAUCAUAUCUUACAGUACUAUAACUGUAUUAUGUUAAGAGCAACAAUUAUCUCUCAAAAAAUUUCACUUCAUAACUUUUAAGAAUCCGUUUCCCAAAUAUGGGCAAUAAUUUGUUGAAACUCUUAUUCUGAGUACUAUUCUAAAAGUUUCAUUAAGUUCAAUUAUGUGUGAUGUGUAAGUAGUGAAACGGGUUGAAAUAGGAGUCCUUCUAUACAGAUUUAAGUUUACUGUAGUGCCAGUUCUGUCAGUAACAGAAAUGCUCCUUCAACACGAGUGCAUCCUGUUUAUUUAAGGUCGUGCUUACAUUGAAUGGUGAUGUUUCCAAUAUGCUACUUGCAAUCAAUUUUAAUAACUUAAGGAUAGCUUCACAAUCACAGUAUUUCCACAUUUCAGCAUUUAUACUUCACAGUCAUGAUCUUAAAGACCAUUGGACUAUUAAAAUUUUCAAGCUCAAUGAUAAAAUCCGCUACAGUUGUAAAAAUUGUUUAUUUCUAAAAAGGAAAGCACAGCCCGUUUUCAGGACCGGGUUGAGCUUUUCUUUUUAUAAAUAAAGAAUAUUCCAGUUUUGUCAAAUAUUAUGUUACCUGUUGGUCAAAAACUAUUAACAUGUGUAAUCUAUAGGAUCAGACAUUAAAACUGAAUGUAAGUGGCAGUGCAAUGUUUAGUUCGUCAAAUUGGGCACAUUCAUGUUUAUUGACCAACUAGGCAUAUUGUAUUUGGCGAAACAUGAAACUGAACGCUUGUAGAGACUUGAAUGUCACGUUUGUAAAGCACAAAUGCUAGAACGUUGUUAUUUACUGAGUCUGACAAUUAUUCUAUCUCUGAUACCAGAUACAUUGCAGCUUAGGUGUCAAUAUCCCAUAAACGCUGAGGCGCACCAUGAACGACAAUAUCUAUUACAUAUUUUUUAUAAUUUUACGAAUGUCGAAAGUCAAAUUUUAUUGCACAUAUAGAAAUCGAGGAAACUGUCUAAUCCAGUUGCAAUUAAUUGCUUCAAUGGCUACAAUCGGUUGAAACAUUUAGGUAAUUAUCAAGUGUGAACAACAAGUCCAUCCUUCUUCGCGACAAUUCUCGGCCGCACUCUUCAGGGGCAAUGACGACGGCCCUGAAGCAUUUUCUACGGAAAGUGUUUGACCACCCGCCAUAGAGCCCGAACUUGGCUCCCUCCAAUGUCCAUCUCUGUGUACAUGAGCCACUGGCUAUGACGACAACAUUUGGGCACAGGAAACGAACUGCAGAUCAACGCACAGAAGUGACGGAAAGCACACGUGGCUGCCUUCUAUGACGAGGGAUUGGGAAUUUGAUACAACGCUAAGACCAAUGUCUACGUCAGAGCGGCGAUUAUGUAGAAUGUAGCUGGAGGAUGUAGCUAACUGUUGCAGAAAAAGAAAAUUUUUUUAAUUAUUUUCACUGUGGUUUCAAUUUUUAAACCGAUCGGGCCUUGCUUUCAGAAUAGCCUUCGUAUUGCCCGUAGGCCUUCCAUCCUCUGCAGAUCUUAUCAGUUCCUUGGUUUUACUGACAGCGACGUGUUGAACCACCUGCAAACGUCACGGCGUCGGUACUCCGUACAAAUAUUAUUGGUUUGCCGUCCUGCUCCGUUUUUAUAUCGAGCCAGCGGAAAGAUGACUGUUUAUGUACCUAUUUAGGCAUCUGGAUCUCUUAUUCUCAUGGUCCCUAUGUGAGACAUACGGUAGCGACAGAUAAGUCUCACCAGCUAUUGCUCAGUCGUGCCAGCUAUUGCGACCGAUUAAGCCUUUAGCAACGCGAUUUGAUAGGGACUGCAAAACCCGAACCAAUAAUCUGGAGUUGAUCACACUGGCGCCUCGUAUGUAUAUUUCGUUUACAGAUGCAUUGCACUUUUCCAGAUCCUUUACAACAAAUCCGUCUUCCACUGAUCUUCCCUAAUGGUGAUUAUAAGCGAUCGUCCCGUUUUAUAUUGCUUCUUAGCAUUACCCCUGACUCCUAUACAAAGUAAUAUAUUCAAGGUGUUCACAACUAAUCUUGUAUUUGGAUUAUUACGUGUACAGGCAGUGGACAAAGUUGUUUUAUUAGGAUUCCGUAUCUCAGUCAGUAAAAACGGAACCCCAGUAGGAAUACUUUGUUGUCCGUUUGGCUGUCUGUCUGUUAAGACGCUUUUUUUCAGUAGGGCAUCAAGUUGAAAUUUAUGUCAAAUACUAGGGUCUACGAUCCCUUGGCAUUCUGUGUUAGAAAUGUGAGAUCAAAGUAUAGGCUACUACCAUUUUUGUCACACAUUUUGACUCUCGCAAACUUACUCAUCGAAACCUAUAAAUGAACUGUCUAUAUGAGCAAUUAAAUUUGUACGGAACGCUCAGAGCGCAAGUCCUAUUCGCACGUGUCCGGUUUUUAUUUUUAGUCCACCUGUUGUUGUCUUGACUUCCAAUUAGCGUGGCUGUCUGCAGGCUGCAAGAAAGAUGAAUUUUGGGGACGCCAGUCUUCUCAUAGGUGACACAAACAGAUGAAUGUCGUCCGCAUACAGCAUCCCGUGACGAAAGUCAGCCUGGGAGGAGUUACUGCUAUAUAAGCGUGGCCUAGACGUCGGUGGCGUUCUUCUGUGUAGCUACAUCUGCACGGAGAGAAACUUUUGUGUAACGAAUAUGUGAGACAUAAUGAGUCCGCAAACCACACGACUGUCGGUGGAAUAGAGGCUAAAUCCAUAGGUAAACAUAGCUAACAGGUUAGGAAAAGGCCCGAUGAAACCUACAAAAACGCAAUGACUUCAUACCGCAGAAAGUUUGUUGACCUGCCUGGUGAAAGUUUUGUGUCUCGAACGUUGACAGUACGAAAGCGGGGUACCAUUGCAAGCUGUGAAAGUCCAUGUGAACUGAAGCAGACAAACACUUUGCAAGCUCAAGCAGAACCAUAUUCGUGAAGCCACGGCGGAAGCACCUGACAUGUGAGCACCUGAAAUAAGCUUGCUGCAGAGGCCACUAUGGCUGUCAUCUUUUUUCUUCACUGUGGUUUAUAGGAAAGUAUUAUUCUUUUAACUUAGCUUGUUGCAGAGUCAACUGUAAUACAAAAGCCUACAGUAAGUAAUCAAUCUAAGAUCUAAGCAUAAGAGAAGGAAGAGUCUAGUUAUCUACUGAAGCACUCUAAGUUAUAUUAACUACAGUUCAAUAUUAUUAAUAAAUGAAAACUACAGUUACCAUUAUAUGAAAGCAGCAAUUUUAGUAUUACUUACUAGCAAAAGAUAGUUAUGUAUAGGCUUAGAGAUGUCAAAGAAAAGAGUAAUAGAGUAUCACUAAAAUUUUAAAAGAUUUGUCUAAGAAGAUGAACAAAAAAAGAGAGUUGCAAACAUUUUAAUCAUUAUGUAUGUGAUAUGGCAUAAAGAAAGCUUACUACCUUCUUGCAGCAGUCCUCACGAGGCAGCGGCAGUUAAUAGUCUGUCUUUUUUUGUUUGCAUCACCCGGAAAAGUCUUUUUUUUGGCAACAGCACAAAACACACA